rnacentral:rRNA from 1 species
UUCAGCGGCGGACGGGUGAGUAAUGCCUAGGAAUCUGCCCGAUAGUGGGGGACAACGUUUUCGAAAGGAACGCUAAUACCGCAUACGUCCUACGGGAGAAAGCAGGGGACCUUCGGGCCUUGCGCUAUCGGAUGAGCCUAGGUCGGAUUAGCUAGUUGGUGGGGUAAAGGCUCACCAAGGCGACGAUCCGUAACUGGUCUGAGAGGAUGAUCAGUCACACUGGAACUGAGACACGGUCCAGACACCUACGGGAGGCAGCAGUGGGGAAUAUUGGACAAUGGGCGAAAGCCUGAUCCAGCCAUGCCGCGUGUGUGAAGAAGGUCUUCGGAUUGUAAAGCACUUUAAGCUGGGAGGAAGGGCAGUAAGUUAAUACCUUGCUGUUUUGACGUUACCAGCAGAAUAAGCACCGGCUAACUUCGUGCCAGCAGCCGCGGUAAUACGAAGGGUGCAAGCGUUAAUCGGAAUUACUGGGCGUAAAGCGCGCGUAGGUGGUUCAGCAAGUUGGAUGUGAAAGCCCCGGGCUCAACCUGGGAACUGCAUCCAAAACUACUGGGCUAGAGUAUGGUAGAGGGUGGUGGAAUUUCCUGUGUAGCGGUGAAAUGCGUAGAUAUAGGAAGGAACACCAGUGGCGAAGGCGACCACCUGGACUAAUACUGACACUGAGGUGCGAAAGCGUGGGGAGCAAACAGGAUUAGAUACCCUGGUAGUCCACGCCGUAAACGAUGUCAACUAGUUGUUGGGUUCCUUGAGGACUUAGUAACGAAGCUAACGCGAUAAGUUGACCGCCUGGGGAGUACGGCCGCAAGGUUAAAACUCAAAUGAAUUGACGGGGGCCCGCACAAGCGGUGGAGCAUGUGGUUUA